UUCGCAUCUCUUAGCCUGGCAAGCAGACAAAAGUCGUCCCCAAAACGAGAGGCGUGGAAACGAAAAGACGCGUUAUGAAGAAAAGAAACGAUAAUCAAAUUAAAAGGAUCACUAUUAAUGAGAGAAGGGGGUACUUGAUAAAAAAAGAAAACGAGAACUCGAUACGAGAUGAUGCAUAUACUUCCGUUCCCUUUCUAUAUGAUGCGAUAAUUCAAACAUUAAACUGUGCGAAAAGGCUCAAUAAUGCAUCUAAACAUUUCAUCCAAGGUUUCCAAAAAACAGAAGGUGGUAUAAAUACAGCUAACUGAGCAAACCUU